GAUUCCCCUASUARCWGCGAGUGAAGAGGGAAGAGCUCAAAUUUAAAAUCUGGCGGUCUCUGGCUGUCCGAGUUGUAAAUUAGAGAAGUGUUAUCCGCUCAAGCCUGUGCAAAAGUCUCUUGGAAAAGGGCAUCAUAGAGGGUGACAAUCCCGUCUUUGGCACAGAUCACUUGCGCUUUUGUGAUGCGCUCUCGAUGAGUCGAGUUGUUUGGGAAUGCAGCUCUAAAUGGGUGGUAAAUUCCAUCUAAAGCUAAAUAUGGGCGAGAAACCGAUAGCGAACAAGUACCGUGAGGGAAAGAUGAAAAGCACUUUGAAAAGAGAGUCAAACAGUAUGUGAAAUUGUUGAAAGGGAAACGCUUGAAGUCAGUCGUAUCCUUCAGAAAUCAACCUGACCUUUGGCUGGGUGCAUUUUUUGUUGGAUGGGUCAGCAUCAAUUUUGAUCAUUGGAUAAAGGACUUGGGAAUGUGGCAUCUUUGGAUGUGUUAUAGCCUCUGUUUGUAUACAAUGAUUGGGAUUGAGGAACUCAGUGUGACUUUGGUUUGGAGGUAUUGCACCUCACACACGCACUUAGGAUGCUGGCAUAAUGGCUUUAAUCGACCCGUCUUGAAACACGGACCAAGGAGUCUAACAUGCAUGCGAGUGUUUGGGUGGAAAACUCAAGCGCGCAAUGAAAGUGAAAGUUGAGAACCCCUUUGGGGUGCAUCGACGCCCGGACUUGAUCUUUUGUGACGGACCUGCGGUAGAGCAUGUAUGUUGGGACCCGAAGAUGGUGAACUAUGCCUGAUAGGUGAAGUCAGAGGAACUCUGAUGGAAGCUCGUAGCGAUUCUGACGUGCAAUCGAUCGUCAAUUUGGGUAUAGGGCGAAAGACUAUCGACCAUCUAGUAGCU
rnacentral:rRNA from 1 species